UAGUUCAUGAAGUGGAUGCACUUGGUGGUGAAAUUGGGAAGGUUGCAGAUAGGUGCUAUUUACAAAAGCGAGUGCUGAACAUCUCAAGAGGUCCUGCUGUUCGAGCGUUGCGUGCACAAACUGACAAAAGGGAAUAUGCUAUGGAAAUGAAAAGGAUAGUGGAGAGCACUCCAAACCUUUCUAUCAGAGAGGCAAUGGUAACAAAUCUCUUGCUAGGAAAAAAUGACAAUGUGGAAGGUGUCAGCACUUUUUUUGGAAUGAAUUUCUAUGCUUCUUCAGUUAUUCUCACUACUGGAACUUUUAUGAGUGGUAAAAUAUGGGUUGGUAGAACUUCUAUGCCGGCAGGAAGAGCUGGUGAGUCAGCUUCACAAGGACUCACUGAGAACUUGCAACACCUUGGAUUUGAAACUGAUCGGUUGAAAACUGGAACUCCAGCCCGCGUGGACAUUCGGACGGUGGAUUUUUCCAGAUUGGAACCUCAGCAUGGGGAUGAA
rnacentral:misc_RNA from 1 species